UACGUAGGGGUGCAAGCGUUAUCCGGAUUAUUGGGCGUAAAGAGCGUGUAGGCGGUUCGGUAGGUCCGUUGUGAAAACUCGAGCUCAACCUCGAGACGCCGAUGGAAACCCCCGAACUAGAGUCCGGAAGAGGAGAAUGGAAUUCCUGGUGUAGCGGUGAAAUGCGCAGAUAUCAGGAAGAACACCCGUGGCUAAGGCGGUUCUCUAGUACGGUACUGACGCUGAGACGCGAAAGCGUGGGGAGCGAACAGG
rnacentral:rRNA from 1 species